GAAUUGGAAUGUUUAUUUUGUGAAGUGCCUUGAGACAACUCUUGUCGUAAUUUGGCACUAUAUAAAUAAACUUGAAUUGAAUUGAAUUAAUAAUUAGUCGACUUUACUGACUCAAAGGUAAAUCUAGACUACUUUCUAUACACAAUUGUCCUUAAAAGCUGUUCCAAACAGGUUUUAAUCAUUAGGCACAGUCUAACUCAAAAUGCAAGAUCCCUCCUUUCAUCUUUUAUUUAUCUAUCUUAUUUUGGGAAAAUAACUACCAGUUUUUAAUUCAAAACAGCCUGGUACAGGUUCUAGCCAGGUUACAGGAAAUAAUAGUUUAUCUCUUUCUCAUUAUUCAGCGUCUCAAAAUCCAGCCACUAAUGUUAAUGAUUCUUAAAGUUCAAGCAAGACAAUUAUUGGAUUUUAUUUCUAUAGCAAGAUUUACAGGAAUAGUUUUACAACACCUAUGCAAAAUAAUUAUAAGUGGGUGUAACUAAACAAUCUGGCACAAAUAUUUUAUUUUCCUGACUGAUUAUUUGUUAAUUUUAUGGUUUUCAUAAAGACGAUCCUGAGAACUUCAGAGCUGCUGUUCUGCAGCACCCUGUGCUAUUUUUAGACUACAGGAUUCUUGUGUGUAAAAGUGGGCGGAGUCAGGCCCUCAGGUUGAACCUUCAGCCUCAUUCCGCUCUCGACCGUCCAGGAGAAAAGACCCUCACACGGAGGCCAUCCAUGGACUAAGAAGAAAAGCAAGCCAGCCUUGGUCUCACCAUGUGUGUGUAUGCAGGCAGGAGAAAAGAGAGAGAGUGACAGACUCCAUUUACAGAAAAGCAAACAUAGUCGGGGAAAGCCCGGGCCACACCAUGUUUUUUCCCAUCAGCUGUCUCUAUUAAACACUGCGUCAUUCAACAGAAUAUCCAGCCACAGCAGCAUUCACUUCACAUGCAAAAAAAAAACACUCACAUUCACAACAGCACAAACAACAUUUUUUCUGUUUGUCACAGUCUUUCAAACAAAAGUAAGUCAGCCCGUCACUUAUUUAUUCUCUUUAUAUAUAUAUAAACGUCUAUUUACCUUAUUUUUCUUAGUAUCUUAUUUCCAGCUGGACUAUUAUCAUUAUGUUUUCUCCUAAUUUAAAUUUAACUGACCCAAAUUGGCACUUACUUUUCCUACUUUACACCAAAUCGGAAGGAGCUCCAUUAACAGCUUUUAUUCGUGUAUUUUUUUUUUUUUUUUUUUUAAGCACAAAAUUUGUAUAACACUGCACUGGUUAUUUUCAGAAUUUAAUGCUUACUAUGCUUUUAAGCAGGUCCUAUGCAACCACUACAGCAAGCCAAAUUGCAAUUUUUUGAGAGCGCUCAGAAACAGUUUAUAUAUUUAUUUUCUACAGAUCUGUUUCGACUUUACUGUUUAGCAGCUGUCCGACUUUCAAUAAAUGUAUAUCUAUAUAUUUCUAUAUAUUUCUAUAUAUUUCUAAAAUAAAGCUGUCAUUUACAACUUUCCUUGUAUUUCUUGUUUUUUCCUUUUAAUCUUCAGGCUACUUCACCCCCCAAAUCUGGGUCACUCACAUGCUGCCCCGUACACAAAUGAUUCUUACGCUUGUAUAU